GGCUUCGUAGCUCAGCUGGUAGAGCGCGUGCUGCGUUUUUGGUAUGGUGUAUUCUGUCGCUGUUUCGAAUCCAGCCGAAGCCU